GAUCGUUCUCAAAAAAUGGUUUCAAAUGUUCUUUUAAAUUUCAACAAUGACCUAUGGAAUGUCUAUAAUAGAUAGCUAUGUUCUGCCACAGAUAAUAUAAUACUAUACUAGGUUCUGCAUAGCUAGAUUCAAUUGUCUUUAUGUGAAAAUAUUAAGACAGGAUAAAUAUACUCACCUAACAUUCGUAGGUAUAAUAUCAGAAUAAUUUUGGUAAAGUACGUAACAUACAAGACAAAAGGAGAUACUGGGUAUUUAAUAAAAUAUAUUUAUGAAUACUGCUGGAUGGAAGAUACUAAUAAUAUAAUAGGGAUUGAUAACAGAGACAAGAUCGAUAAUAGAUAAAUCAGAUUUUCGAAUCAGAUUUUGGAAAAGAUAGAAGGCUUAAAGACCAUUUAGAAGAGACUGUAGUAAAGAUUUGGAGUAAAUGUUAGUUCGUUAAAAUUAGAUAUUCAAAAAGUUAUGCUACUUAGUAAUAAAUAUCUGGAUUCGCAUAUAAUGCCCAUUUUACAUAAAUAUUCAUGUAAAAUGGAUAUUAUAUGCGAAUUUGUUUCCUAUAAAUGACUCGGCCGAAGCUAAAAGACUAUAUACAAAAGAAAAGAAGUGUCAUAUAAUAACACCAUAAAAAUUUUUUGGUUCUAAAAUUAGGCCAACCUGCAUUAUGAGAAACCAGAUAGGGAACAUCUGGAGAAUACUCAGAAUCAAGCCAAUUUAAAAAAGUUCCAUUUCCUAAAUUCAGUUAACCGACAAUCGAACCCUAUGCUUAUUGCGCUAUAGAGGUAAUCAAACCGGAUAAGUGAAAACGCGGGACCCCAUAAAAUUAAUGGGCAAAAUCUACAAGAUACAAGAAGCAUCGAGUCGAUGCGUGACAAAAAAUAGUGUGACCCCAGAAGUAAAGAUAAGAGAAUAACUAUUGGGAGAAAAUUACCUAUUAAGGUGUAGGGCGUUCGGACAGAGGCGUCGGUCAUGUUCAAGAUAAUAUUGUGGUCCGUUGUGUUAAUUUGCGAUGAGAUGUAACAUCGGCCUAAUAAAACCUUUGGUGAACAAUAUCGGACAGGGCUUUGUUGCCUAAACCAGAAAUAGAAGACUAAAGAAAAUUAAACAGAAGUCAGAAAACAAAAAGGAAACAUUUCUGUCAAUACAAUUACAUUUAUUUUAAACGGGACCAGAAUUCAAUUUUAGUGACAUAUUUUUGUCGCGACUACAACGGACCAUCAUAUCGGAAAACUAAUCAAAACGUACCGCUCGAAUCGGAAUACAACGAAUGCUAUGCAUACAAAAUAUCACGCCACAGUCGAGUUCAAUAUAGUAUCUACUAUUCUGUAUCUGUAAAUAUAAAACAGGUCUUUAGUAUGAUUAUACGCAAGUUCAAUGGUAAGGGCAAGAUCUAUGAGAUGAGAGUACUCUUUCUUCGCGCACCUGUUUAACUGGCUUCGGAACCAUUCGAUCAUGUUAAUAUAAUUGUUCAUAUGGUAUAAUACAAGUAUAACCGUAAUAUAGCAUUCCCAAAAUAAUAUAUAUUGAAGUUUACGAGCAAGCGUUCCUCCAACUACCAGGUUACUGAUGCCGAUGUAUGUUAAUUCGAAAAUUCUAUAACACACCUAUUCAACAUUCCAAUGGCAAAUGUGGCUAUUUAUAUGUCAUAUAAUGGUCACGUGUGAAAAGUUUAAUGGCCAGGUAAUAGGGCAGCGUCCUCUCUGUUGAAUGUUAAUGUAAAUAGUUAAUAUAGUUAACUUACAGACAUAAUUUACAAAAUGUACGAGUAUAAUAUAUAUAUAUAUAUAUAACAAACCCCGUUUCAAUUA